GAAAGAGGAUACGUGCUAUAUGGACUCAUUUUCACUUCAUUGAAGUGGAGAACAAAACCAAAUGCUUGAUUUUAGUCGAAGGGAAGGAAUGUGGCCACAUGAUAGCUGGAAAAAACACAACCUGAAGAGACACGUCGCAGUUCAACACAAAGACAUUACGAUUGAAGAUACACCGACCACCAACAACCACCCAGAAACAAUGACAGGCCAGCUAUACAAGCUUCCUUAAUUGCCCACACCAAAUACAAAGCUGACUCUCAGGACCAGCAAGCUAUGCCUUGUUUCACAUAAAUACUGUACCUUUAUAAACCAUGUGAACUAGCUGGCAGGAAAGCACUUUUGUUGUAUCAGUUGGAGUUAUUUUUUUCACAUCAUUGAUCUCAAAUCUAUUUAUUUCUAUCUAUUUAUUUUAUUAUUCUAUGUGAACUAGCUUUAAACAGUCAGCACUUGUGUUAAGUUCAUAAAACACUUUAUUUUAUUUAUUUGUUUCCUUUGUCAGGUGUAUUUUAUUUGUUUUAAUGCAAGCAUUUGUGUUUGUGUCUUUAAACCUUAACAAUGUUCAAAAUAAAUAUGCAAAUAUUGUCAGAACA